GAUGAACGCUAGCGGGAGGCUUAACACAUGCAAGUCGAGCGGCAAUCCCGAGCAAUCGGGACUAGAGCGGCGCACGGGUGAGUAACGCGUAUGCAACCUGCCUUUUACAGGGGGAUAGCCCGGAGAAAUCCGGAUUAAUACCCCAUGGAACUAUAAAGCCGCAUGGUUUAAUAGUUAAAGAUUUAUCGGUAAGAGAUGGGCAUGCGUGACAUUAGCUAGUUGGCGGGGUAACGGCCCACCAAGGCUACGAUGUCUAGGGGUUCGGAGAGGAUGAUCCCCGACCCUGGUACUGGGACAGGGACCAGACUCCUACGGGAGGCAGCAAUGAGGAAUAUUGGUCAAUGGGCGCAAGCCUGAACCAGCCAUCCCGCGUGAAGGAUGAAUGUACUAUGUAUUGUAAACUUCUUUUCUGCAAAAAGAAAGGGCACUACGUGUAGUGUUUUGACGGUAUUGGAGGAAUAAGCAUCGGCUAACUCCGUGCCAGCAGCCGCCGUAA
rnacentral:rRNA from 1 species